UACAGAGGGGGGCAAGCGUUGUUCGGAAUUACUGGGCGUAAAGGGCGCGUAGGCGGCCCGCUAAGUCGAACGUGAAAUCCCCGAGCUCAACUCGGGAACUGCGUCCGAUACUGGUGGGCUUGAAUCCGGGAGAGGGAUGCGGAAUUCCAGGUGUAGCGGUGAAAUGCGUAGAUAUCAGGAGGAACACCGGUGGCGAAGGCGGUUCUCUGGGCAUUACCUGACGCUGAGGAGCGAAAGUGUGGGGAGCGAACAGG
rnacentral:rRNA from 1 species